GGCUCACACCGGUCUAAACUCAGAUCAUGUAAAAUUUCAAAGGUCGAACAGACCCAAUUUAUUAGCUCCUUCACCAAUAAUUAAUUUUAAUCCAACAUCGAGGUCGCAAUCUUUUUUUUCGAUAAGAACUCUCAAAAAAAUUACGCUGUUAUCCCUAAGGUAAUUUAUUCUUUUAAUCUAAAUCAUAGGAUCAUAAAACUACAAAUUCAUAUUUCAAUAUAAAAAAAGUUUCUCUAAUUUUUCUAUCACCCCAACAAAAUAAAUAAAUAUAAGCCCAAAUUAUAAUACCUAUACUUAAACAACUAUUUACCUAUAAAACUCUAUAGGGUCUUCUCGUCUUCUAUUAAAAUUUAAGCUUUCUCACUUAAAAAUAAAAUUUUAAUAAAAUUUUUCAGAGACAGUUACUUUCUCAUCAAACCCUUCAUACAAGCUUUCAAUUAAAAAACUAAUGAUUAUGCUACCUUUGCACGGUCAAUAUACCGCGGCCAUUUAACCAUUCAGUGGGCAGGUCAGACCUGAAAUCAUAAUCAACAAGCCAUGUUUUUAAUAAC
rnacentral:rRNA from 1 species